CAGGACAGAUUCAGCACAGGUAGCUAGAGAAUAAGUUUUACCCACACAACCCAUCCAUGUGCCUCAAUCCUGACCUGGAGGGACCACCUCUAGA
rnacentral:sRNA from 1 species